AGAGUUUGAUCAUGGCUCAGAUUGAACGCUGGCGGCAGGCCUAACACAUGCAAGUCGAGCGGUAGCACAGAGAGCUUGCUCUCGGGUGACGAGCGGCGGACGGGUGAGUAAUGUCUGGGAAACUGCCUGAUGGAGGGGGAUAACUACUGGAAACGGUAGCUAAUACCGCAUAAUGUCGCAAGACCAAAGUGGGGGACCUUCGGGCCUCAUGCCAUCAGAUGUGCCCAGAUGGGAUUAGCUAGUAGGUGGGGUAACGGCUCACCUAGGCGACGAUCCCUAGCUGGUCUGAGAGGAUGACCAGCCACACUGGAACUGAGACACGGUCCAGACUCCUACGGGAGGCAGCAGUGGGGAAUAUUGCACAAUGGGCGCAAGCCUGAUGCAGCCAUGCCGCGUGUGUGAAGAAGGCCUUCGGGUUGUAAAGCACUUUCAGCGGGGAGGAAGGCGAUAAGGUUAAUAACCUUGUCGAUUGACGUUACCCGCAGAAGAAGCACCGGCUAACUCCGUGCCAGCAGCCGCGGUAAUACGGAGGGUGCAAGCGUUAAUCGGAAUUACUGGGCGUAAAGCGCACGCAGGCGGUCUGUCAAGUCGGAUGUGAAAUCCCCGGGCUCAACCUGGGAACUGCAUUCGAAACUGGCAGGCUAGAGUCUUGUAGAGGGGGGUAGAAUUCCAGGUGUAGCGGUGAAAUGCGUAGAGAUCUGGAGGAAUACCGGUGGCGAAGGCGGCCCCCUGGACAAAGACUGACGCUCAGGUGCGAAAGCGUGGGGAGCAAACAGGAUUAGAUACCCUGGUAGUCCACGCCGUAAACGAUGUCGAUUUGGAGGUUGUGCCCUUGAGGCGUGGCUUCCGGAGCUAACGCGUUAAAUCGACCGCCUGGGGAGUACGGCCGCAAGGUUAAAACUCAAAUGAAUUGACGGGGGCCCGCACAAGCGGUGGAGCAUGUGGUUUAAUUCGAUGCAACGCGAAGAACCUUACCUGGUCUUGACAUCCACAGAACUUAGCAGAGAUGCUUUGGUGCCUUCGGGAACUGUGAGACAGGUGCUGCAUGGCUGUCGUCAGCUCGUGUUGUGAAAUGUUGGGUUAAGUCCCGCAACGAGCGCAACCCUUAUCCUUUGUUGCCAGCGGUCCGGCCGGGAACUCAAAGGAGACUGCCAGUGAUAAACUGGAGGAAGGUGGGGAUGACGUCAAGUCAUCAUGGCCCUUACGACCAGGGCUACACACGUGCUACAAUGGCGCAUACAAAGAGAAGCGACCUCGCGAGAGCAAGCGGACCUCAUAAAGUGCGUCGUAGUCCGGAUUGGAGUCUGCAACUCGACUCCAUGAAGUCGGAAUCGCUAGUAAUCGUAGAUCAGAAUGCUACGGUGAAUACGUUCCCGGGCCUUGUACACACCGCCCGUCACACCAUGGGAGUGGGUUGCAAAAGAAGUAGGUAGCUUAACCUUCGGGAGGGCGCUUACCACUUUGUGAUUCAUGACUGGGGUGAAGUCGUAACAAGGUAACCGUAGGGGAACCUGCGGUUGGAUCACCU
rnacentral:rRNA from 1 species